GGCCGCGUGGCGCAAUGGUAGCGCGUUGCUUUCCGGUGGCAAAGGUUUCUCGGUUCGAGCCCGAGCGUGGUCG